AAAUUGAAGAGUUUGAUCAUGGCUCAGAUUGAACGCUGGCGGCAGGCCUAACACAUGCAAGUCGAACGGUAGCACAGAGAGCUUGCUCUCGGGUGACGAGUGGCGGACGGGUGAGUAAUGUCUGGGAAACUGCCCGAUGGAGGGGGAUAACUACUGGAAACGGUAGCUAAUACCGCAUAACGUCGCAAGACCAAAGAGGGGGACCUUCGGGCCUCUUGCCAUCGGAUGUGCCCAGAUGGGAUUAGCUUGUAGGUGAGGUAACGGCUCA
rnacentral:rRNA from 1 species